rnacentral:rRNA from 1 species
UAGGAGGUCCAGCCUGCCCAGUGACAUCAGUUCAACGGCCGCGGUAUCCUGACCGUGCGAAGGUAGCGUAAUCACUUGUCUUCUAAAUUAAGACUAGUAUGAAAGGCAUCACGAGAGUCAAACUGUCUCCUCUCUCCAAUCUGUGAAACUAAUCUCCCCGUGAAGAAGCGGGGGUUUAAAUAUAAGACGAGAAGACCCUGUGGAGCUUCAGACAAAAAUACUGCUGCCCUCACCAGCAUCCUAGUAUCAAGUCUUAGGUUGGGGCGACCACGGAGCACAAACCACCCUCCAUGCUGAACAGGACCUCCUUAAACAAGAGCCACAGCUCUACGAAUCAACAAAUUGACAUACUUGACCCAAUUACUUGAUCAACGAAACAAGUUACCCCAGG